AAUCAACGCUGGCGGCGUGCCUCAGACAUGCAAGUCGAACGAUUAAAGCUCUCUUCGGAGAGUGUAUAGAGUGGCGCACGGGUGAGUAACACGUAAGUAAUCUACCUUUGAGUGGGGAAUAACCCGGGGAACCCGAGCUAAUACCGCAUAAUGCAGCGGCACCGCAAGGUGACAGUUGUUAAAGGAGCAAUCCGCUUAAAGAGGAGCUUGCGGCAGAUUAGCAGUUGGUAAGGUAAUGGCUUACCAAGGCUUCGAUCUGUAUCCGGCCUGAGAGGGCGGUCGGACACACUGACACUGAAUAACGGGUCAGACUCCUACGGGAGGCAGCAGUCGGGAAUUUUUGGGCGAAUGGGCGAAAGACCUGACCCAGCAACGCCGCGUGAAGGAUGAAGUAUUUCGGUAU
rnacentral:rRNA from 1 species